UUAAGGUCAUUUACCAUUGUGAGGAGCAGCAAAUUCCCUGGUUGGUUUGGUCGUUGGUUUAUAAAAAUUGCACCAUUUGUCAAGUACAGUCAAACCUCGGUUUUCGAACGUCUCUGUUCUCGACCAAAUCGGUUUUCAACUAAUUUCGACGCACAUGAAUGCACCACUCGACUCCUCUCGCCUUCCUUACACGAGGAAGUGACGCUUCCUCGGGUAGACGAGGAAGUGACGCUUCCUCGUGUAGCAUUCCAUUGUGAGUGGACGUGUUCAAUAAAUAUUACAAAAAAGCGUCCAAUUUGAGCGUGUUCAAUAAGGAUUUUUAAAAAAAGCAUCGUGUUUGUUGACAUCUACACAUAUCGGACUGUUAUUUCUGCAUUGUGUAUCAGCCCCUAAUCAUGUCACCAAAGAAAGCAGGUGGAAGUAGUCCAGCUGGUGGAAAAAAAGAGGAAAAUAGUGUGCAAAACUAUUGAAUUUAAGAAGGUUUGAUUGCAAAAUAUUAAUCAAGUGUACGUCUAUCUAUGUUGGCUAAGGAGUUCGCCAUGCCGAAAUCAACGAUGAGCAGCAUCUUAACAAAGAAAGACCAUCUUAAAGUCACUGAUGUGGCGAAAGAAUCUCGUGUGUUGGGCCACAAAUAUUAGAGGAAGUGGAGAAACCUUUGCUUGUUUUCAUAAAUGAGAAACAGCUAGCAGGGGACAGUCUUAGCCAAGGUACGAUUUGUGGCAAAGCAAGACAAUUUAUUGGAGAUUUGAUAAGGAUUGCUCCUGAAGAAUUCGACUUUAAAGCAAGCAGAGGAUGGUUCGAAAAGUUUAGGAAAAGAAGUGGGAUACACUCCGUGAUUCGUCAUGGGGAGGCAGCCAGUUCAGACAAGGAAGCUGCCGAAAAGUUUAAAGCUGAGUUUGAAAAUCUCAUCAAGGCCGAGGAAUAUCUUCCCCAGCAAACUUUUAAUAUGGACGAGACUGGACUUGUGUGGAUAAAGUGGUUCAGAAAAUGGAUGGAAGGAUGUUACCUCAUACCGUAGAGUUGAGUUGCAGAGAGAGAUUCCAUAGUUACAGCCAUUACUUUAGGAUGUAUUAGUUCAAGGUGUAAAAUAAUGAAAUCUACAAUUGUCAUGAUGAGAUAGAGA